AACGAGCGCUGGCGGCAUGCCUAACACAUGCAAGUCGAACGAGACCUUCGGGUCUAGUGGCGCACGGGUGCGUAACGCGUGGGAACCUGCCCUUAGGUUCGGAAUAACUCCCCGAAAGGGGUGCUAAUACCGGAUAAUGUCUUCGGACCAAAGAUUUAUCGCCUUUGGAUGGGCCCGCGUUGGAUUAGCUAGUUGGUAGGGUAAAAGCCUACCAAGGCGACGAUCCAUAGCUGGUCUGAGAGGAUGAUCAGCCACACUGGGACUGAGACACGGCCCAGACUCCUACGGGAGGCAGCAGUGGGGAAUAUUGGACAAUGGGCGAAAGCCUGAUCCAGCAAUGCCGCGUGAGUGAUGAAGGCCUUAGGGUUGUAAAGCUCUUUUACCCGGGAUGUUAAUGACAGUACCGGGAGAAUAAGCUCCGGCUAACUCCGUG
rnacentral:rRNA from 1 species